rnacentral:rRNA from 1 species
GAUGAACGCUGGCGGCGUGCCUAAUACAUGCAAGUCGAGCGAACGGACGAGAAGCUUGCUUCUCUGAUGUUAGCGGCGGACGGGUGAGUAACACGUGGAUAACCUACCUAUAAGACUGGGAUAACUUCGGGAAACCGUAGCUAAUACCGGAUAAUAUUUUGAACCGCAUGGUUCAAAAGUGAAAGACGGUCUUGCUGUCACUUAUAGAUGGAUCCGCGCUGCAUUAGCUAGUUGGUAAGGUAACGGCUUACCAAGGCAACGAUGCAUAGCCGACCUGAGAGGGUGAUCGGCCACACUGGAACUGAGACACGGUCCAGACUCCUACGGGAGGCAGCAGUAGGGAAUCUUCCGCAAUGGGCGAAAGCCUGACGGAGCAACGCCGCGUGAGUGAUGAAGGUCUUCGGAUCGUAAAACUCUGUUAUUAGGGAAGAACAUAUGUGUAGUAACUGUGCACAUCUUGACGGUACCUAAUCAGAAAGCCACGGCUAACUACGUG